GGAUAUGAACUCUCUUCUACAACAUCUGUCAACUCAUUGAUUGGCAGGGUUGGUUUGGCUGAUCUGACUUGCUUGGUGAGUGUUGCCUUCCUCCCUCACUGUUCCAUGUGUAUCCCAAAGCAACAUGCUUGGAGAGGUGACCAUCCCAAAUAGUGGGAGUGUGCCAUUCUCCGUUAAGGAACAGCCACGCCUGCUAGAACCUCUAAGCAAUCCCAGUGUCCAUUUGUAGAAAAACAUAGGGUAGCCAAGCUUCCGAGACUCUAGACAUAUCCAAGUGAGCCGCUAUUCAUGGCUGUUUUU
rnacentral:snRNA from 1 species